rnacentral:lncRNA from 1 species
AUGAAAGAACUGAAAAGAAGGAAGUUCUUCACAUGCAUCAAUGAACUGUUAGAAGGGGCAAGACUCAUCUCUCAAGGCCUACUUCCAUAUGUACAGUCAGAGUAUGCAGUCACAACCAGCUGUGAAAUCCCAUUUGAGUGGAGGUUUGCAAGUGAAAUUCACAUUUCCUAUCUCUUUUGAGUGAGGCUUUGAAGCAGAAUGUAGCUCCCAAAGAAAGAUAUUUUCCAUUUUAUCAUGGCUGAAAAACCAAAUGUAAAUGCUGGUGCUUUAUAGUGCUGAGACUGCUGCAGGAGAACAUUGGUGGGGAAGUUUGCCUGUGAAUUUUCAGAAAGGCUGAAGAUAUGCAGUGCUGGUAAACCUGAGCCAUCACCUGACUCCUCAUUUCAGAAAAGCGUUCCAAGUUUAUCAUCAUUCCCCAUGAAGGUAAUUGAUUAAUUAUAAAAUCAGAUGCUUAGAAUGGUUAUUUGAGGCCUUAUAAAAUUGGAAUAAAAUCAAAUAGGAAAGAUUCA